UACGAAGGGUCCAAGCGUUGUUAGGAUUUAUUGGGCGUCAAGCGCGCGCAGGUGGAGUGACAAGUCAGGUGUGAAAUCUCGGAGCUUACCUCCGAAACUGCGCCUGAAACUGUUAGUCUAGAAUAUCGGAGGGGGUAGGGGAAUUUCACGUGUAGGGGUAAAAUCCGUAGAGAUGUGAAGGAACAACGGAGGCGAAGGCGCCUGCCUAGACGAUUAUUGACACUGAGGCGCGAAAGCGUGGGGAGCAAACAGG
rnacentral:rRNA from 1 species